GUUGGACCCGAAAGUGUGCAGCAGAAUUGGUGGCUGAGUCAGUAGACACUAGUUAGGUGUUGGUAGACAGAGGCAGGUAGAAACUGGUCCUGCGUUGAAGAUGCUCGGCCGGUCGGAGAUAAGCAGAGGGAUCAUUUUCAACAUGCUUGAAGACAUGCCGGCCUUCAGAUAACCACAGAGAUAGUGCUGUGAGCAUCAGUCUAGAGAUGGACAUAAAAGGUCACGGGACACUGUCUUCUGAUGGGUGACACCUCUCUCUUCUUGGCUCUUUCCAAGGGCCUGGGGAUGAUGGUAGUAGACUUUGCCCUAGGACCCUUCUCUCUCUAUAAAUUCCAACAGAGCAGACAUCUCCCAAGCAACAGAGGGUCCCAUGGAAUCCCACCAGCUCCCACAUCAUUUCAAGCUAUGGAAACAUGAAAUGUUCAGUUAAAGUAGCCUCGUGUCCAUCUUCCCUUGGAUAUAAAAGGCUAAGGUUAAAGGUGAUGUAAAGGUUCCCUUAAAAACCAGUCUCUUCAUUCCCUGUAGAGUCUACCAACUUCACAUUAAUUUGAAGAUAUUAAAAUGUAACCAACAUAUAAUGUUUGUAUAUCCUUGGUACAAUGAAUCAUAGUAUCUUCUUUUAUGUGUACAUUGCACAUAAUGAUCUAGUCAUACAGAAUGUAUAUAUUCACACACACACACACACACAUUCAGUUUCAUUAUCAUUCAGUUUCACUAGAUAAAUUUAAAUCAAAGAUACAAUGAUGUCAUGUAACUCCAGUUAGGAUGGAUAUUACCACAUGCGCGUGUGUGUGCACGCACACACACACACACACACACACACACACACACAGACACAAAGACGACGGCAACAACAACAACUAACAGAACAAAGGUAGAAGGUAAUGUGAAGAAAAGAGAAUUCUUGUACACUACUGAUAGAAACAAAACUAAUAUAGUCACUCUGGAUAGGUGUAUGGAAAUAACACACACACACACACACACACACA